AUGGACGUACCUGACAGCAGA
rnacentral:miRNA from 1 species